CCUACGGGUGGCAGCAGUGAGGAAUAUUGGUCAAUGGGCGCGAGCCUGAACCAGCCAAGUCGCGUGAGGGAAGACGGUCCUAUGGAUUGUAAACCUCUUUUGUCGGGGAGCAAAAGACGCCACGCGUGGCGUUCCGAGAGUACCCGAAGAAAAAGCAUCGGCUAACUCCGUGCCAGCAGCCGCGGUAAUACGGAGGAUGCGAGCGUUAUCCGGAUUUAUUGGGGUUAAAGGGUGCGCAGGCGGAAGAUCAAGUCAGCGGUAAAAUUGAGGGGCUCAACCUCGUCGAGCCGUUGAAACUGGUUGUCUUGAGUGAGCGAGAAGUAGGCGGAAUGCGUGGUGUAGCGGUGAAAUGCAUAGAUAUCACGCAGAACUCCGAUUGCGAAGGCAGCAUACCGGCGCUCAACUGACGCUCAUGCACGAAAGUGUGGGUAUCGAACAGGAUUAGAUACCCUAGUAGUC
rnacentral:rRNA from 1 species